GAAGGGGGCUAGCGUUGCUCGGAAUCACUGGGCGUAAAGGGUGCGUAGGCGGGUCUUUAAGUCAGGGGUGAAAUCCUGGAGCUCAACUCCAGAACUGCCUUUGAUACUGAAGAUCUUGAGUUCGGGAGAGGUGAGUGGAACUGCGAGUGCAGAGGUGAAAUUCGUAGAUAUUCGCAAGAACACCAGUGGCGAAGGCGGCUCACUGGUCCGGUACUGACGCUGAGGCACGAAAGCAUGGGGAUCAAACAGGAUUAGAUACCCUGGUAGUCCAUGCUGUAAACGAUGAAUGCUAGUUGUCGGCAAAAGCCGGUGACGCAGUUAACGCGAUAAGCAUUCCGCCUGGGGAGU
rnacentral:rRNA from 1 species